rnacentral:rRNA from 1 species
GCAGUCGAGCGGUAAGGCCUUUCGGGGUACACGAGCGGCGAACGGGUGAGUAACACGUGGGUGAUCUGCCCUGCACUUCGGGAUAAGCCUGGGAAACUGGGUCUAAUACCGGAUAUGACCUCCUAUCGCAUGGUGGGUGGUGGAAAGAUUUAUCGGUGCAGGAUGGGCCCGCGGCCUAUCAGCUUGUUGGUGGGGUAAUGGCCUACCAAGGCGACGACGGGUAGCCGACCUGAGAGGGUGACCGGCCACACUGGGACUGAGACACGGCCCAGACUCCUACGGGAGGCAGCAGUGGGGAAUAUUGCACAAUGGGCGAAAGCCUGAUGCAGCGACGCCGCGUGAGGGAUGACGGCCUUCGGGUUGUAAACCUCUUUCAGCAGGGACGAAGCGCAAGUGACGGUACCUGCAGAAGAAGCACCGGCUAACUACGUGCCAGCAGCCGCGGUAAUACGUAGGGUGCAAGCGUUGUCCGGAAUUACUGGGCGUAAAGAGUUCGUAGGCGGUUUGUCGCGUCGUUUGUGAAAACCAGCAGCUCAACUGCUGGCUUGCAGGCGAUACGGGCAGACUUGAGUACUGCAGGGGAGACUGGAAUUCCUGGUGUAGCGGUGAAAUGCGCAGAUAUCAGGAGGAACACCGGUGGCGAAGGCGGGUCUCUGGGCAGUAACUGACGCUGAGGAACGAAAGCGUGGGUAGCGAACAGGAUUAGAUACCCUGGUAGUCCACGCCGUAAACGGUGGGCGCU